UACGGAGGGUGCAAACGUUGCUCGGAAUCAUUGGGCGUAAAGCGCACGUAGGCGGUCCAGCAAGUCGGAUGUGAAAUCCCUCGGCUCAACCAAGGAAGUGCAUCCGAAACUGCCGAGCUUGAGUACUUAAGAGGAUCGCGGAAUUCCCGGUGUAGAGGUGAAAUUCGUAGAUAUCGGGAGGAACACCAGUGGCGAAGGCGGCGAUCUGGGAAGAUACUGACGCUGAGGUGCGAAAGCGUGGGGAGCGAACAGG
rnacentral:rRNA from 1 species